rfam:Podiceps cristatus contig123804, whole genome shotgun sequence.
UCUUUGGCUUUGUUGAAAGCCACCGAACAUACCCUGAAAGUAAAAG